CCUACGGGAGGCAGCAGUGAGGAAUAUUGGUCAAUGGACGAGAGUCUGAACCAGCCAAGUAGCGUGAAGGAUGACUGCCCUAUGGGUUGUAAACUUCUUUUAUAUGGGAAUAAAACGUUCCACGUGUGGGAUUUUGUAUGUACCAUAUGAAUAAGGAUCGGCUAACUCCGUGCCAGCAGCCGCGGUAAUACGGAGGAUCCGAGCGUUAUCCGGAUUUAUUGGGUUGAAAGGGAGCGUAGGUGGAUUGUUAAGUCAGUUGUGAAAGUUUGCGGCUCAACCGUAAAAUUGCAGUUGAAACUGGCAGUCUUGAGUACAGUAGAGGUGGGCGGAAUUCGUGGUGUAGCGGUGAAAUGCUUAGAUAUCACGAAGAACUCCGAUUGCGAAGACAGUUCACUGGACUGCAACUGACACUGAGGCUCGAAAGUGUGGGUAUCAAACAGGAUUAGAUACCCCUGUAGUC
rnacentral:rRNA from 1 species